UUACGGCCAUAUGACGUUGAAAAAACCGAUUCUCGUAUGAUCACCGAAGUUAAGCAACAUCAAGCCUAGGUAGUAUCUAGAUGAGUAACCACUUUGGAAUACCAGAUACUGUAAG